AGAGCGCCAAGAAGCAGCCCAGGCGAUCCCAAGGCGCACAAGUGCUCUCACCAGGCUGCGCGCUGGCGGGUCGGUGCACAGGGACGGGGUCGCCGCCCACGCGCGCUUGGUUCAGGGAGCCCAGGCUGUCCCUACCCGCGGCUACAAAAGCUCGCCGAGUCUUCCUGUCCACCCAAUCGCCCCACAUGUCAGCGGUUGGUCGCCUCGCGGUGCAGUGCUGGGCACGCGAGCCCCUCCCGCAGUCAUUCUCAGCACAAGCACCAGCCUGGAGCCCCGCAGCGACAGAGCUGAGAGCCCCCAAGCCGCAGAGGUCGUGCGGAGCAGAAGAAACACACGUGUUCUUGUGUGUAAACCCAGUCCAUGGAAGAGACCGUCUGCUUGUCCCUCCUGAUCUCUGGGCCCAGACAACCAGUAGUCACCAUUCCAAGUGAGGGGUGGCUGCAACUCUACAGCCCCGUUCGUCUCUCCUCACUGUCAAAGCUGCUGAGACCCCAGACUCGACACUUGAAAGAAACCCAUGUCUGUGAAGCACUUGUGGACCAUUCAAGAUUGUGGAAGAAUCACUCAAGAGAAGGAGAUAGGAGACGGCUGCUGCUGUUCCAGUCUCUCCUUAGGCAGACUUGAGUUUCUACCCACUCUUCCCAAGCAGCCGCCCCUCCGCACCCGAGCGAGCCAAAGACCUGGCGGGCUGAGUACUCACUGCGCGCUGGACACAUGCUGAGCCGGCACUGCAGGGACACAGGGCGAGCCGCUGGAUGCAGACCUGUGGCCGCGGCAGUUGGGCUUAUCUUGCCCAUGAAGUUGCCUCUGAAGAACCAAGUCCAACUGUGUAUGCUGAGAGAUGUCUGGCUACUUCCUGAUUGACAGUUCUGGCAAGGUGGCAUUGGGCCCUGGCUUUUCCUCUGGAGGCAUCAUCACUUAUAGGAAAAUGUCCCCUGAAGUCCAAGGAUCAAAGCUGCUGGAACACUGAGAAGCUGAACAAAGGAGAACUGUUUCUCAUCAAACCCAGACUUCCAGACUUCCAAUAGGGUAGAAUGAGCAAGUCAGCAAAUCAUCUUCCUUGGAAACAGUGAUAAAACUAGAUGACAUUGUCAACAACAGCCAUUUCAGAAAUCUAGAAAAUGACCAAAGGCAAACAACAAACUGAGAAGCAUUUUUUUUUCCAUGAAAAAUCGCUCUAUUUCUGCAAAAAUAGUGGGAGUCUAUGGCUUCUCAUCCAGGGCUGUUUCUCUCCCCACCCCAGCUCAGUCAGUACAAAGGUUCUGGCAGCAUGAGGCAGACUGAACAGACCUGAAGUUUGAUUGCUGGAAGAAACUGACUCCAGGUUUGGCAGAGGGUGAGAAACCUACUCCCAGCCAUGUUGUCUGGUGACACAGUGACCUUAGGGACAAGUGAAUAGGGAAGGCCAGUGAUUCAUUAACCUGAGGUUGCAGUCCUGGUUGGGGAAAGCAUCAGAAUGGCAGAUAAGCUAGAAAUUUAGUAGGGAUAUGCUGGAAAUGAGACAACCCCAAAGGGGCUUGACCCCAAAGUUGUCCACACACCCCAGCUGCCUUCUGAGCAGAUGUAGGGAGAGACCAGAGAAGGCCUAGGCUAUCCACACAUCUCUGGCUAACCCAGGCUGUAAACCUGUGGAGGAGACACAAGAGGUGGAUUGAUUGCUAAUGGGCAUAUGGGGGAUCUUACUGGUUGAUAGGAACAUUCUCAAAUUGGAUUGUGGUGAUGCUUGCACAACUCUAAGUUUAUCCCAAAUUGCUAAAUUUUACACUAAAAAGGGGUGAACUUUAGGGUAUAUAAAUUAUACA
ensembl:lncRNA IL12A-AS1 IL12A antisense RNA 1